GGGGCAACCCUGGCGGCGAGCGGCGAACGGGUGAGUAAUACAUCGGAACGUGUCCAGUAGCGGGGGAUAACCUGUCGAAAGAUAGGCUAAUACCGCAUACGACCUACGGGUGAAAGCGGGGGACCGCAAGGCCUCGCACUAUUGGAGCGGCCGAUGUCGGAUUAGCUAGUUGGCGGGGUAACGGCCCACCAAGGCGACGAUCCGUAGCUGGUCUGAGAGGACGACCAGCCACACUGGAACUGAGACACGGUCCAGACUCCUACGGGAGGCAGCAGUGGGGAAUUUUGGACAAUGGGCGCAAGCCUGAUCCAGCCAUGCCGCGUGAGUGAAGAAGGCCUUCGGGUUGUAAAGCUCUUUCGGCGGGGACGAAACGGUCCGUGACAACACCACGGACUAAUGACGGUACUCGCAGAAGAAGCACCGGCUAACUACGUGCCAGCAGCCGCGGUAAUACGUAGGGUGCAGGCGUUAAUCGGAAUUACUGGGCGUAAAGCGUGCGCAGGCGGCUCCUUAAGUCAGAUGUGAAAUCCCCGGGCUUAACCUGGGAACUGCGUUUGAAACUGGGGAGCUGGAGUGUGGAAGAGGGGGGUGGAAUUCCAGGUGUAGCAGUGAAAUGCGUAGAGAUCUGGAGGAACACCGAUGGCGAAGGCAGCCCCCUGGGCUAACACUGACGCUCAUGCACGAAAGCGUGGGGAGCAAACAGGAUUAGAUACCCUGGUAGUCCACGCCCUAAACGAUGUCAACUAG
rnacentral:rRNA from 1 species